AUUUUUUUAUAAGGUAUUUGCAAAAAAAUAAUGUUUAUCUUUUCAUGUUGGAAGGUUUAAAUUUUGUUUGUCCAACUUUGAAUGUGCAGAACAUUGAAUUCUAUCAAUAGAAUUUGAUGAAAUCUGCGAAAAACAUUGAUAAAUUGCCAAAACAAAAAGGGUAUCAGUUCAAUUGGGACACAGUACAUAAUGGGAUUCUAAUAUAUGGAUUAUUGAUAAUAUGCAUUUAAAAAAUGCCCUUUUGUGGACCGACCAUAGUUUAAGUCUAAUCCGAUUCCGAUUCGACCAAACUCGGAUUAUGUCUCAUUCUAGAUCGAUUUCGCGAAGAAUAUUUACAAAACACAGCAUAUUUUAUAUAAUAGCCGUGAAUUCGCACAAACUAUGAGUCCAGGCAAAACUAUGUCUAGCUCUUGUUUCAAAUCAUCUAAAGUUGAUAUCGAUGUCUGUCGUUGUUUCCAUAGAGACAUAUGCCGAGACAUUCUCUUAUCCACAACUCCCAUGAUUUUCCUUCCUAUCUUUUUGUUUGGUUCUGUCAAUAGCUGUCUACGUUGUAUCAAUCCAUUAAGAGUCGUGAUGGAGGUCUUGGAAGUUAUCUUCUCGUCUAUACCUGAGGGUUUGGUUGGUACCGAAGCGUUGACCUCAUUAUUUUGUUUACGAAUAUUUGAUAAAUCGUUCAUUUUUUUUUGCUUUGGGUCCGCAUCGUCUGGAUUUCCAUUCCCGUUUAAUUCAUCAACUUUCCCUUUAUCCGCUAAUUUAUUUUGUCCUGUGGACAUAAUUUUUUUUCUUCCUUAAAAAAAUUAUAACAUUUUCAAGGUUUAAAACUCUUCUAAUUUUAAAAGAGUAAUUAGAGGAUGAAUUUAAUUAUACUAGUUGUAUAAUUCUGAUUUGAAUUAUUUUAAAAAAAAACAUUAAUAACAAUCAUUUUA